rnacentral:lncRNA from 1 species
UCCACACGGCAUCACAGCGCUAUUGGACUAUGGCAAGCUGAUGCCGUCCGGUGGAGCUUCGUAAAGAAACUACUGCUGCUUAUCUGGUGCCACAACGUUGGAUGAAUGCACAAAAAGGCCGGAAUGAGCAUUUAU